AUUGAACGCUGGCGGAAUGCUUUACACAUGCAAGUCGAACGGCAGCACGGACUUCGGUCUGGUGGCGAGUGGCGAACGGGUGAGUAAUGUAUCGGAACGUGCCCAGUCGUGGGGGAUAACGUAGUGAAAAUUACGCUAAUACCGCAUACGAUCUAUGGAUGAAAGCGGGGGAUCGCAAGACCUCGCGCGAUUGGAGCGGCCGAUAUCAGAUUAGGUAGUUGGUGGGGUAAAGGCCCGCCAAGCCAACGAUCUGUAGCUGGUCUGAGAGGACGACCAGCUACACUGGAACUGAGACACGGUCCAGACUCCUACGGGAGGCAGCAGUGGGGAAUUUUGGACAAUGGGCGAAAGCCUGAUCCAGCCAUUCCGCGUGCAGGAUGAAGGCCCUCGGGUUGUAAACUGCUUUUGUACAGAACGAAAAGGUUUCUACUAAUACUAGGAGCUCAUGACGGUACUGUAAGAAUAAGCACCGGCUAACUACGUGCCAGCAGCCGCCGUAA
rnacentral:rRNA from 1 species